GAUGAACGCUGGCGGCGUGCCUAAUACAUGCAAGUCGAGCGAACGGACGAGAAGCUUGCUUCUCUGAUGUUAGCGGCGGACGGGUGAGUAACACGUGGAUAACCUACCUAUAAGACUGGGAUAACUUCGGGAAACCGGAGCUAAUACCGGAUAAUAUUUUGAACCGCAUGGUUCAAAAGUGAAAGACGGUCUUGCUGUCACUUAUAGAUGGAUCCGCGCUGCAUUAGCUAGUUGGUAAGGUAACGGCUUACCAAGGCAACGAUGCAUAGCCGACCUGAGAGGGUGAUCGGCCACACUGGAACUGAGACACGGUCCAGACUCCUACGGGAGGCAGCAGUAGGGAAUCUUCCGCAAUGGGCGAAAGCCUGACGGAGCAACGCCGCGUGAGUGAUGAAGGUCUUCGGAUCGUAAAACUCUGUUAUUAGGGAAGAACAUAUGUGUAAGUAACUGUGCACAUCUUGACGGUACCUAAUCAGAAAGCCACGGCUAACUACGUGCCAGCAGCCGCGGUAAUACGUAGGUGGGCAGCGUUAUCCGGAAUUAUUGGGCGUAAAGGCGCGCGUAGGCGGUUUUUUAAGUCUGAUGUGAAAGCCCACGGCUCAACCGUGGAGGGUCAUUGGAAACUGGAAAACUUGAGUGCAGAAGAGGAAAGUGGAAUUCCAUGUGUAGCGGUGAAAUGCGCAGAGAUAUGGAGGAACACCAGUGGCGAAGGCGACUUUCUGGUCUGUAACUGACGCUGAUGUGCGAAAGCGUGGGGAUCAAACAGGAUUAGAUACCCUGGUAGUCCACGCCGUAAACGAUGAGUGCUAAGUGUUAGGGGGUUUCCGCCCCUUAGUGCUGCAGCUAACGCAUUAAGCACUCCGCCUGGGGAGUACGACCGCAAGGUUGAAACUCAAAGGAAUUGACGGGGACCCGCACAAGCGGUGGAGCAUGUGGUUUAAUUCGAAGCAACGCGAAGAACCUUACCAAAUCUUGACAUCCUUUGACAACUCUAGAGAUAGAGCCUUCCCCUUCGGGGGACAAAGUGACAGGUGGUGCAUGGUUGUCGUCAGCUCGUGUCGUGAGAUGUUGGGUUAAGUCCCGCAACGAGCGCAACCCUUAAGCUUAGUUGCCAUCAUUAAGUUGGGCACUCUAAGUUGACUGCCGGUGACAAACCGGAGGAAGGUGGGGAUGACGUCAAAUCAUCAUGCCCCUUAUGAUUUGGGCUACACACGUGCUACAAUGGACAAUACAAAGGGCAGCGAAACCGUGAGGUCAAGCAAAUCCCAUAAAGUUGUUCUCAGUUCGGAUUGUAGUCUGCAACUCGACUACAUGAAGCUGGAAUCGCUAGUAAUCGUAGAUCAGCAUGCUACGGUGAAUACGUUCCCGGGUCU
rnacentral:rRNA from 1 species